AGCCGUUUCCUGUUAGCGUCUUGAAAAUAUCACACUGCUGCUCUCUGGCUACUGCUCUGGCUGCUCAGAAAUCAAGUCAAGGUCCAAGCUACACUUGCUACAAAGAUGCUCCAGAUACCAGUCAGACAACCAUCCACUCUGCUUCCUCCUUGC
rnacentral:lncRNA from 1 species